GGAUGUGACGAUAAACUUGUUGACACCCAGUCUUAUCAUCUAUUUUGAUGCAUGGUGACCCUCUGACUAUCUGAUCC